AAGAAAUCAUACAGUAUUUGACUUUCUCUGUCUGACUUAUUUCUCUUAGCAUAAUACCUUGAGGUUCAUCUUUGUUGUCCAAAGGGUAUUGCAUAGGUUGGUUACAUUUCCUGAUCUUGGAGAAGUGGGUUUAUGCAGGAGAAGUCCUAUGGUGUCCAGCAGCACACACCCUUCUGGUCCCUUGAGCUAUGUGCUCUAGGAGCGCCCCCUAUGUGGGCUGCAUGUGCCCUUCUGAUGUGGUGGAGCCAACUACCUUGGACACACUGGGAGAGGCAAUUUCUCUCAUCCGCUAGAUGUAAAUAAAGAAGUCAGUGGGCCUUACUGUAACCAGCAGCUGUCCUACAACCCAGAGGGAACCAGUCACCAGUCGUAGAAUGAUACAAACCCUGUGGAUACAGAGCAAAGAAAUAGAAAGAACCUGUGUUCUUGAUGACACAAUUCUGGCGGCUGGGAAGUCCAGGAUCAAGGCUCCGGCAGAUUCACUGUCUGGUGAGACAGACAUGGAAGACAUUCACUUCCUAGUUUGUAGAUGGCCAUCAUUUUUUUGCUGUAUCCUGACACAGAGAAAGAGGAGUACUUUUCUGAGUCACAGAGGGACACUGCGCAGUGCAGAUGGACUUCAUCGUAAUCCCCAAUGAACU